CCGCCCGUCGCUCCUACCGAUUGAAUUGUCCAGUGAAGUGUUCGGACCGAGGCGACGGGGGCGGUUGGCCGCCCCCGACAUCACGAGAAGUCCGUUGAACCUUAUCAUUUAGAGGAAGGAGAAGUCGUAACAAGGUUUCCGUAGGUGAACCUGCGGAAGGAUCAUUG
rnacentral:ncRNA from 1 species